ACAUCAUGCAAUACAUGUUCAUGCCUCACAAAUAUGCAAAUUAUGCAACUCUUAGUCAUUCUUUACCAUUAGCCUUUUUUUAGAAUAUGCAAUUCUUUAUUAUUAGCCAUUCUUUAUUUUUUAAUCUUUAUUCUUUAUUCUUUAUUCUUUAUGCUUUAUUCUUUGUUCUUUAUCCUUUACUAAGGGCACUCGUGCCUUAGGCUCAUCAUACACAUUUGCCAUUCUUUAUAACAUUAACAAGUCUUUCUCAAUUAUCACUCUUUCCUAAGGUUACAUUUACCUUAGCCAACUAUGCCACUCG
rnacentral:lncRNA from 1 species